AAAAGCGCCGCCGCCGUCCGGACGGGGCUGUGGAGGGGCGCGGAGGGAUGCCGGGAGUAAGGGUCACCUCGCGAGAGCCGACGAUAUCCAUCCGCCGGCGGGUGACCCCGCCCUCCAGAUUCAAUGGUAAACUAAUUAUCCCCUAAGUUUGGAAGAGUUACAACUGAAAGAACUGAGAAUCCUGCACAUCAAGUUAAUUACUAGGCUGGACCCUCUUGCUGCGACUUUGGAUGUCUCACCAACAGAGGAACACACCGCGUAGGAUUUCCCACUUGCCAGGACAGGCUCUCCAAAUCCUCGCUGCAACUGGGGCUCCCCAGCGUCUGCGGAUCUGGAUGUUGGUAACGUAUGCAGAAGUACCUGAUUCUGUGAAGACAGAAGUACGUGCAUGGAGCGGUAGAACUGACUGUUUCUGUUCCUUAAAAAGUGCAGGUCAGAGCCUAUGA
rnacentral:lncRNA from 1 species